CCUUAAGAUUUGAAAAUUGCGUGUUUGAAAAUAUCUCAUUUGCUCAUUUGCUUGUUUUUCAAAUUUCUUAGCAUCUUGAAAAUUCACUCAUUCUCAUUUGAUUAUUUAAUUUUGGUAUCAGAGCAUGUUUAAAAAUUAAGUGUAUCAAUGCAUGUUUAAGAAUUAAUUUUAAAGUAUAUCAGAGCAUGUCAAAUUUUAAGGUGUAUCAGAGCAUGUCUAAGAAUUAAUUUUAAAGUUUGCUCAUUUGCUUUUUGCUUAGCAAUUCACUCAUUUUAUUUUUAAGUCUUUUAUUAAUCUUGCUUUUGAUAUUUUUCUUUAAUUUCUCUCAAUUCACUCAUU
rnacentral:lncRNA from 1 species